rnacentral:piRNA from 1 species
AGGGAAGAGAUCCUAAUGGAGGCGCCUCA